rnacentral:rRNA from 1 species
CCUACGGGAGGCAGCAGUGGGGAAUAUUGCACAAUGGGCGGAAGCCUGAUGCAGCGACGCCGCGUGAGGGAUGACGGCCUUCGGGUUGUAAACCUCUUUCAGUAGGGAAGAAGCGUAAGUGACGGUACCUGCAGAAGAAGCGCCGGCUAACUACGUGCCAGCAGCCGCGGUAAUACGUAGGGCGCAAGCGUUAUCCGGAAUUAUUGGGCGUAAAGAGCUCGUAGGCGGUUUGUCGCGUCUGCCGUGAAAGUCCGGGGCUCAACUCCGGAUCUGCGGUGGGUACGGGCAGACUAGAGUGAUGUAGGGGAGACUGGAAUUCCUGGUGUAGCGGUGAAAUGCGCAGAUAUCAGGAGGAACACCGAUGGCGAAGGCAGGUCUCUGGGCAUUAACUGACGCUGAGGAGCGAAAGCAUGGGGAGCGAACAGGAUUAGAUACCCUGGUAGUCCAUGCCGUAAACGUUGGGCACUAGGUGUGGGGGACAUUCCACGUUUUCCGCGCCGUAGCUAACGCAUAGUGCCGCCGUGGNGACGGCCGCGAGACGUAAACUUAAACUAGAGUAGACGCGNGAGACGUGCGACGACGACGACGAGGGAGUAGG